rnacentral:rRNA from 1 species
UACAGAGGGUGCGAGCGUUAAUCGGAAUUACUGGGCGUAAAGCGUGCGUAGACGGCUAUCUAAGUCGGGUGUGAAAGCCCCGGGCUCAACCUGGGAAUUGCAUUCGAGACUGAAUAGCUAGGGUACGGUAGAGGGAAGCGGAAUUUCCGGUGUAGCGGUGAAAUGCGUAGAUAUCAGGAGGAACACCGAUGGCGAAGGCAGCUCGCUGGGACGGUACUGACGCUGAGGCGCGAAAGCGUGGGGAGCAAACAGG